CAGGACCCCCCCUUAGCCUGAGGCCCUGGGCUGCAGCCCCUAAAGCGUCUGCAUUAAUCCGGCCAUGAUCAACUGCAUGCAUCAGCACGAGCUGUACACAGCAAUUAGCCUUGAAGAGAGAGGAACCCUCUAAAAAGCUGCUAUGAGCUGACUGUCGGUGACUCAAACUCUGAAGAACAAAACCCUGAAGUCAUAAAGUUCAUAGGCCACAAGAGUGCAGGUGCCACAAUAGAAGGACCAUAUUGUAAGGGUCUUGGCUGUAAUGCUCAAGAAAAAUACUCGAUAAUCUAUUAGUUGUGCAACAUCAAAAGCAAAUAACUCAAUCUCCCAUCUGUUCUGGGGCCAUUGUUUGCACCCAGAUGGCUGUUGAUGUGGUUUAACGAAAUAUUUCAGCAAUUGCUACCCUCCAGACAGAAAAGGCUAUGCCAG